GAGAUAAGGAGGAACACCAGUGGCGAAGGUCGCUUUCUGCCCUGCAUUUGACGCUGAGGCGCGAAAGCGGGGUCCGAAAACAGGACUAGAUACCCUGGUAGUCCACGCCGUAAUUUAAAGUUGUGGCACAAGUGUUGGAGGGUUUCCCGCCCUUUCAGUGCUGCAGCCUAACCGCCAUUAAAGCA
rnacentral:rRNA from 1 species